rnacentral:rRNA from 1 species
GAUGAACGCUGGCGGCGUGCUUAACACAUGCAAGUCGAACGGAAAGGCCCAAGCUUGCUUGGGUACUCGAGUGGCGAACGGGUGAGUAACACGUGGGUGAUCUGCCCUGCACUUCGGGAUAAGCCUGGGAAACUGGGUCUAAUACCGGAUAGGACGAUGGUUUGGAUGCCAUUGUGGAAAGUUUUUUCGGUGUGGGAUGAGCUCGCGGCCUAUCAGCUUGUUGGUGGGGUAAUGGCCUACCAAGGCGUCGACGGGUAGCCGGCCCGAGAGGGUGUACGGCCACAUUGGGACUGAGAUACGGCCCAGACUCCUACGGGAGGCAGCAGUGGGGAAUAUUGCACAAUGGGCGCAAGCCUGAUGCAGCGACGCCGCGUGGGGGAUGACGGCCUUCGGGUUGUAAACUCCUUUCGCUAGGGACGAAGCGUUUUUGUGACGGUACCUGGAGAAGAAGCACCGGCUAACUACGUG